GACGAACGCUGGCGGCGUGCUUAACACAUGCAAGUCGAACGGAAAGGCCUGCUUUCCCUUGUGGAUUGCGGGUGCUCGAGUGGCGAACGGGUGAGUAACACGUGAGUGAUCUGCCCCCAACUUGGGUAUAAGCCCGGGAAACUGGGUCUAAUUCCCGAUAGGACUGCAGGGUGGUGCCUGUGGUGGAAAACGAUUUUCUAGUGGUUGGGGAUGAGCUCGCGGCCUAUCAGCUUGUUGGUGGGGUAAUGGCCUACCAAGGCGGCGACGGGUAGCCGGCCUGAGAGGGUGGACGGCCACAUUGGGACUGAGAUACGGCCCAGACUCCUACGGGAGGCAGCAGUGGGGAAUAUUGCACAAUGGGCGGAAGCCAGAUGCAGCGACGCCGCGUGGGGGAUGACGGCCUUCGGGUUGUAAACUCCUUUCGACCGCGAGGAAGCCACCUGGUUGGAAGGGUGGUGACGGUAGUGGUAGAAGAAGCACCGGCUAACUACGUG
rnacentral:rRNA from 1 species